CUACGGGACGCAGCAGUGAGGAAUAUUGGGCAAUGGGGGCAACCCUGACCCAGCCAUGCCGCGUGCAGGAAGACGGCCCUAUGGGUUGUAAACUGCUUUUGUACGGGAAGAACCCCAUCUACGAGUAGGUGGCUGACGGUACCGUAAGAAUAAGCAUCGGCUAACUCCGUGCCAGCAGCCGCGGUAAUACGGAGGAUGCAAGCGUUAUCCGGAUUCAUUGGGUUUAAAGGGUGCGUAGGCGGGUUGAUAAGUCAGUGGUGAAAUCUUGCAGCUUAACUGUAAAACUGCCAUUGAUACUGUCAGCCUUGAGUACAGUUGAGGUAGGCGGAAUGUGUAAUGUAGCGGUGAAAUGCUUAGAUAUUACACAGAACACCGAUUGCGUAGGCAGCUUGCUAAGCUGUUACUGACGCUGAGGCACGAAAGCGUGGGGAUCAAACAGGAUUAGAUACCCCCGUAGUC
rnacentral:rRNA from 1 species